rnacentral:rRNA from 1 species
UACGAAGGGGGCUAGCGUUGCUCGGAAUUACUGGGCGUAAAGGGCGCGUAGGCGGAUCGACAAGUUGGGGGUGAAAGCCCGGGGCUCAACCUCGGAAUUGCCUUCAAAACUGUUGAUCUAGAGUUCGGGAGAGGUGUGUGGAACUCCGAGUGUAGAGGUGAAAUUCGUAGAUAUUCGGAAGAACACCAGUGGCGAAGGCGACACACUGGCCCGUUACUGACGCUGAGGCGCGAAAGCGUGGGGAGCAAACAGG